AACGAACGCUGGCGGCAGGCUUAACACAUGCAGGUCGAGCGGGCCCUUCGGGGUCAGCGGCAGACGGGUGAGUAACACGUGGGAACGUACCUUUUGGUUCGGAACAACUCCGGGAAACUGGAGCUAAUACCGGAUAAGCCCUUAGGGGGAAAGAUUUAUCGCCAAAAGAUCGGCCCGCGUCUGAUUAGCUAGUUGGUGGGGUAACGGCCCACCAAGGCGACGAUCAGUAGCUGGUCUGAGAGGAUGAUCAGCCACACUGGGACUGAGACACGGCCCAGACUCCUACGGGAGGCAGCAGUGGGGAAUAUUGGACAAUGGGCGCAAGCCUGAUCCAGCCAUGCCGCGUGAGUGAUGAAGGCCUUAGGGUUGUAAAGCUCUUUUGUCCGGGAAGAUAAUGACUGUACCGGAAGAAUAAGCCCCGGCUAACUUCGUG
rnacentral:rRNA from 1 species